CUUUUUUUUUACUAAGGAGGAAUCUCUUUUAGUCUUUUAAUUAUUUUGUCAAGAAUAGCUUGUUCAUCAGCAGAAGAGGAGUUAUUUUAGCAAUCAACUUUUAGGAAACCUGAGAGUGCAGCACAUCCUGUAACUGAAUAAAGGUAGGCAAUUUCUUGGAUUUUUUUUUUUUUCAUUUCAAAAUGUUCAGAACCUGGAGACAUUUGAAUCACAAAGCAAUGCUCUAUUCCUCUCUUCUUUGUCUGAAUUACAGACAGUAAUGCAUGACUUCGAAAGGAAAGGAAAAUGGAGGCAAGUGUGUACAUGAAUUCAGAUGUGAUUUGUUAUCAUAAAAAAAAGGCAUACAGUUUUAAACUAAACCUCAGAAUAUGAGACUGAUUGAAUUUAGGAUUAAAAGCAAAGAAAUGCAAGAACUGCUGUAUAGAGUGUGUCCACUGUCCAUAUAUUGUAACAUUUCUGAAAUAUUCAUUUUGCAUCCUGGAUUAUGACUGCCUCAGACAUCUGAGGAGGUGUGCACUAAUGCAGAAGGCAACAUUCAUCAUGAUACAUAAAAGAAACCAAUGUGGAAAUAAUGUAGUAACAUCUAUGCACUGUCAUUUUCAGAUUUCUGAAAGUAAACCCCAUGUUAGACGGUAUAUUUGUCAACCACCUGGCAUCAUUCAGGAAUAGAUAAGUUCUGAUCUUUCUCAUUUAUUGGAACUGGAGUUGGUGGAGACGGUCUGGGUGACUAACUGGAAUGUGUUGGGAUUUCCUGAAUGUCAACAAGUUCUGAGUUUAGGAAAAGCUUGUAUACCAAACUGAAAAGUAAAUGUAGCAAGUAAUGUGACUGGUUCUAAGUCAUUUUUGAACACCUAUAAUUUAACACUACUAUAUUUUCUUCAUUUUCCACUAUACUGAAACAUAAUUACUAAUUACUUGAAAAUUCUGAGUUACGUGGUAAAGAUCUAAGUUUUCUCCCAACUUUCCUGGUACACUAACUUGAUAUGGAGAAGAUACUUCUGUUUUUACAGUCAGUUUUGAAAUUAGAGAGAAACAUCUCACAUUAUAUCCACCCAUCUUCUAUGCUCCAACCUCAGUAGCCAUUCAUAGCUAAAUGAAGGACUGGCCUUUGGAAUGAAUUCCAAAAAAAAAAAAGUAUAGAAACAAUGCAGUAUACGAAGAAAGUCUUAUUGGAUUUAUAUUUGAUUACGUAUCACCGGGAAGUCAAACUGUGGGGAUGGUAAAGCUGUAGGUGACAUUACUAACAUGGUUGCUUACCUUCAUUAUAAACCAGUAAAUCAACAUAGCAGAAUUGUAGGAGGCUGCAAACAAUCCUGAAUAAUCUUGAAUCUUAACUUUUUCAUUUCCUUUUUUUUUUUUAAAGAAGAUUUGUCCUCAAUCUUAUCAGGCUUCAUGAAAUGCAUAGAAUUUGUUAAGUAAGUUCUAGGAUUUGGACUUCAUUUUUGAAUGAACAAAAAAGAUGAGAUCUUGUGAUUGGACUGUGUGAUAUAAAUAACAAAUUUAUAGGGAUUCCGACCAAGAAAGAAUUUGUCUGUGUCAAAAAUCAUACAAGCCAGGCCUAGAUUAAGCCCCUACAGUGAUACUCAGCCUGAAACCUGCAAUCUACUUACCAUUUUCUAGGCUUUCAGACAGUUUUACAAGAUUGACUAUCAAGUUUUCUCAAGAAAACAGAAAGUUGUUAUUCUGUUGCAGUCUUUCUGCUACCUUGUUUGCUGUUCAGUAGGCUUAGAUGAGGAUCUUUUACACUUGCCAAACAUGAUUUUAACUGCUUCCAAAAUGCAUAGUAUAAUGGUAUUCUCUCUCUUACCAGAACAAUACUUAUUCUUUGCUCAAAGUAACACCAGAAGAAAAUUAACUCUAUCCCAGUCAAAACCAGUAGAAGGUAAUUGUGACAAGUAGUCAUGAAUCAUAAAACAAAAUAUGUCAAAUCUCUGUAAAUGCAGAAGAUUAUACAAAUGACACUGACUGCAGCUGUGAUAACAUUAAGCUUGCCAGAUCUCGCAGUCAGAUACUAAGGUUUCUGUUAGUACUGGGAUUACAGUUUGCUAUGACUACUGUCAAGCUGGCUCUAAAAUAGCUUUAGGGAAAACAGAUACUUAUCUCUGUCUUUUGUGAGACAAUAAAAAACAACAAAUAAACCUCACUGCUUACGUACUUUCCUGUUGUGUUCUAUGUGUCCUGUAUGUACGAAUGUGUUUAGAUUAACAUUGUGAGUUUGUUGCUAUAAAACACAAAGCAAAUACUGUAUUAAAAGGCCCUCAAAACCUCAUUCCGAGCAUGUCCAGUUAUUGUAUCUCUGUUCUACCCUAAGGAUGACAGAGGUUUCCAAAGUAAAUCCACACAAACAACAAAUCAGUGAGUCACCACAUUUCCACUUGCAUCCUUUAUUGUGUACCUGCGUAAUUUGGGCUUUUUAACAUAGGCUAUAUAAAAUUAACAAAUGUUUAUAAACAAAUGAUGCCAACAUACAAAAUUAUGAAAAUUAUUCCUUUUAAAUCAACUGUAAACACUUGUGUUGAUA
rnacentral:lncRNA from 1 species